rnacentral:misc_RNA from 1 species
CCGAGUUUACAACUCCCAAACCCCUGUGAACAUACCUAUCGUUGCUUCGGCGGAUCCGCCCCGGCGCCCUCGGCCCGGAUCAGGCCCCCCCCCAAACUCUUGUAUUUCUUUAGUAUCUUCUGAGUAAACAAGCAAAUAAAUUA